CAGUAGCCGCGGGAAUACAGAGGGUGCGAGCGUUAAUCGGAUUUACUGGGCGUAAAGCGUGCGUAGGCGGCUUUUUAAGUCGGAUGUGAAAUCCCUGAGCUUAACUUAGGAAUUGCAUUCGAUACUGGGAAGCUAGAGUAUGGGAGAGGAUGGUAGAAUUCCAGGUGUAGCGGUGAAAUGCGUAGAGAUCUGGAGGAAUACCGAUGGCGAAGGCAGCCAUCUGGCCUAAUACUGACGCUGAGGUACGAAAGCAUUGGGAGCAAACAGGAUUAGAGACCCCCGUAGUCCCUGUCUCUUAUAC
rnacentral:rRNA from 1 species